rnacentral:rRNA from 1 species
AGUAAUGUAUGGGGAUCUGCCUGAUGGGGGGGGAGUAACUACUGGAGACGGUAGCUAAUACCGCAUAAUGUCUGCGGACCAAAGCGGGGGACCUCCGGGCCUCGCGCCAUCAGAUGAACCCAUAUGGGAUUAGCUUGUAGGUAAGGUAACGGCUUACCUAGGCGACGAUCCCUAGCUGGUCUGAGAGGAUGAUCAGCCACACUGGGACUGAGACACGGCCCAG